AGUCGCUUAGUUUAUAUUAAGACAGGGGUUUUCAAAACCCCAGAAGAAAUUGUUUCAGUGAUUG
rnacentral:tRNA from 1 species